rnacentral:rRNA from 1 species
GUUUUGGGGUAACGCGAACGGGUGGGAGGGUGUGUUGGGCUGCUUUUCGGUGGCGGACAACACUUGGAAACUACUGGGCCGUAGUUUUUUGUGUCGGGAUGGUGUCAUCUGUAANCCAAAGCUUAAUGUGCUGAAAGAUGGCUUCGCGUCUGAUUAGCUAGAUGGCGGGGUAACGGCCCACCAUGGCGACGAUCAGUAGCCGGUCUGAGAGGAUGAACGGCCACAUUGGGACUGAGAUACGGCCCAGACUCCUACGGGAGGCAGCAGUGGGGAAUAUUGGGCAAUGGGGGAAACCCUGACCCAGCAACGCCGCGUGAAGGAAGAAGGCCUUCGGGUUGUAAACUUCUUUUACCAGGGACGAACACAAUGACGGUACCUGGAGAAAAGGCAACGGCUAACUACGUGCCAGCAGCCGCGGUAAUACGUAGGUUGCAAGCGUUGUCCGGAUUUACUGGGUGUAAAGGGCGUGUAGGCGGAGAUGCAAGUCAGGAGUGAAAUCCCGGGGCUCAACCCCGGAACUGCUUUUGAAACUGUAUCCCUUGAGUGUCGGAGAGGCAAGCGGAAUUCCUAGUGUAGCGGUGAAAUGCGUAGAUAUUAGGAGGAACACCAGUGGCGAAGGCGGCUUGCUGGACGAUAACUGACGCUGAGGCGCGAAAGCGUGGGGAGCAAACAGGAUUAGAUACCCUGGUAGUCCACGCUGUAAACGAUGAAUACUAGGUGUGGGAGGACUGACCCCUUCCGUGCCGCAGUUAACACAAUAAGUAUUCCACCUGGGGAGUACGGUCGCAAGACUGAAACUCAAAGGAAUUGACGGGGGCCCGCACAAGCGGUGGAUUAUGUGGUUUAAUUCGACGCAACGCGAAGAACCUUACCAGGGCUUGACAUCCAACUAACGAAGUAGAGAUACAUUAGGUGCCCUUCGGGGAAAGUUGAGACAGGUGGUGCAUGGUUGUCGUCAGCUCGUGUCGUGAGAUGUUGGGUUAAGUCCCGCAACGAGCGCAACCCCUAUUGUUAGUUGCUACGCAAGAGCACUCUAGCGAGACUGCCGUUGACAAAACGGAGGAAGGCGGGGACGACGUCAAAUCAUCAUGCCCCUUAUGUCCUGGGCUACACACGUAAUACAAUGGUGGUAAACAGAGGGAAGCAAAACCGCGAGGUGGAGCAAAUCCCUAAAAGACAUCUCAGUUCGGAYUGCAGGCUGCAACUCGCCUGCAUGAAGCUGGAAUCGCUAGUAAUCGCG